UUCGAGAGAACUAGACUAUUGUCUUGCGUUCCCUUGAGGAUUUUAAUCCUCAAGGGAACGCAAGACAAUAGUCUAGUUCUCUCAGCGGCGGAAAAUUGUGAUUUUUAUGGACUUUUUUUGUCA